UGCGGGUCCCCGCCCUCCUGAGCUGGCGCAGGCUGCUGCGGGCCAGAUUUGUCCAGAUAACUGCCCAUGAGGGCAGUUCAGCAGAGUCAGGUCCUUCGAAUAGGGUCCGCUACUCUGGGAGGUUUGUGUUGACUACAGACUUUGCCAAGGUGAAGGGAUCAGUGUGUUCGCUGACGUUCCGUGUUCUGAGCAGCGCGUUCUGAGUUCCAGCAUCAGGAGCCUCCAUGACCAGCCUGACCUGAGCACCUACAGGCAGCACCAGCAUGGGUACUACAAGAGGGCAUACACACUACUCAGACUAUGAUGAAAUUAAUGGCCUGAUUCUUCACCCUUGUUGGUAUCCACCAUCUCAGCCAUGCAACUUUGCACUGCUCUACUACUCAGCAGGUGGGUGUAAUCUUCCAACCCCGAGCUCAGCAUGUGUCUGGCUUUGGUCAAUAGGAAAUCAGCCAAAAUGCAAGCUGCUGUGAAGGUAUCAUUUGGCCUACUGACCUUGACUUUCUGUCAUCCCUGGGAAGACAUAUGGGGUCCAGCCAUCUAGUCUGUGUAGGAUGAGGGAUUUGUGACACUGAGCUGCCCUAGCCAAGGCCAGAUGAGAGCACAUCUCCUAGGAAGCCUGCUGAUGCACAAGAACUAUUCAUUGUUCAAUAUCCCUGUGUUCUGUGGUUAUUUGUUAUGCAGCUACAGCUAACUGCCUUAUAUUCUAAUUAGUUAGGCUCCUUGGGUAGUGCACCAGCCCCAUACACUGAGGAUGGCAGGUUUGAGCCCUGCCCCAACCAAACUGCAACAAAUAAUAGCUGGGUGUGGUCGCAGACACCUCUAGUCCCAGCCACUUGGGAGGCUGAUGCAAGAGAAUCACCUAAGCCCAGGAGUUGGAAGUGCUGUGAGCUGUGAUGCCGAGGCAAUCUACCAAGGGGAAUAAACAGGUCAAGUGCUGACCCAGCACCCCUUUGCACCAGUCUUUCAAACCCUGGCCACACUAACUAAUCAACCUGAUUGCUGUUUAUGCCAAGAUCUAGACCAUGCAAAGCAACCUGAAUUCAUUUUCAUCCCUGCUGAUGUCAGUGCCUGGUGGAACCAAUCUGGAAAAAGCAUGAAUGAUAAUAUGUGGUAUCCACAGCCAGAGAAGAAGCAACAUACGACUUCACCUGCUGGUGAGACAACUGGUCUGUAAAAACUGUGGAGAUAUCUUUUGCUCAGGGACACAUAACAACCUGAUAUGUGAAUAUGCCAGUGAAGAGGACAAGACAUGACAAUCCCCAGGCUGGAAGGUCACAGGUUCUAACCUGACUGUCUAUAAAUAAUACUGGUCUUUUUAUCUUGUGUGGUAAUAAGGUAUACAAAUGGUUCCCACUCAAAUGGUUAGGAUGCUAUAGUCUUGGCUAUCUGACACGCUCUAUUACCAAGUAUUCCACUUUAAAUUCCAGUCAAAUUACAAUCUUGGGCUCUGUUGCUCAUAAGGUUGUACCUUAUGAACAUACAAAA